GGAGAAAAGAUAAGAAGAAUCACCCCAGCACCUGGACCCACUGAGAUUAAGUCAAUUUACUGAGGUUCCAAAGGAAGAUCUUCAGGACUCAGAUCUUAGCUACAGAUUAAAAGAAGUUAAUCACUUAGGUCUUUAGAUGAAUGCACACUUACACGUAGACAAAUAGCUUA